rnacentral:rRNA from 1 species
CAGCAGCCGCGGUAAUACAGAGGGUGCGAGCGUUAAUCGGAUUUACUGGGCGUAAAGCGUGCGUAGGCGGCUUCUUAAGUCGGAUGUGAAAUCCCUGAGCUUAACUUAGGAAUUGCAUUCGAUACUGGGAAGCUAGAGUAUGGGAGAGGAUGGUAGAAUUCCAGUUGUAGCGGUGAAAUGCGUAGAGAUCUGGAGGAAUACCGAUGGCGAAGGCAGCCAUCUGGCCUAAUACUGACGCUGAGGUACGAAAGCAUGGGGAGCAAACAGGAUUAGAUACCCCCGUAGUCCCUGUCUCUUAUAC